CUUCAAUUCUUGAAAUCGACCCGAAUGAUGGCUGGAGAGUGAUUGCUGACUUUAAGUGACGCCUCACGACAUUUCGAAGAGUCUUCGACCCGUUAAACAAUGUGAGACACUCGGAAGAAAUCUGAAAGGAUCACCAUGGUGAAGCGUGGCGAAGCCAUAGACACAUCGAAAAUUCAUCUUGAGAUUCUGGAGGUGUUGCAAUCUUGUUAAGGCAAGCUCUCAGUUCUUCUAUCUUAAACUGUUCUCUACCAGCUGAAGGACACUAAAUUUGAUUCAAAAAAGGAAGCGAAGCCAAAAUGUCUCAUACCUUAGUCCGAUUUUACAAACAUAAUGGAACACCUGCGUUAGAAUCCA